CGGCGGUCGCUGCAAAACCUA
rnacentral:siRNA from 1 species